AAAGCCAAAAACAUUUUCUUCUGGCUCUUUACAGAGAAAGUUUGCCAACCCUUGUUCUAAAUGAAGACAAAUGAAUUUUAUGAAGACUUUACCCAGAAAGUGAAUAUAAGUUCUAUUUUUACGUGUACAUCAAUCCUGUUAAAUUCUGGGUAGAUAUUAUGAGUGAAUUCACUUUUUCCAUAUAGAUUCAGAGCAACUUGAAAGGGGUGUUUUGUUCUUGGAGGGGGUUAUGUUGAUACCCUGCUGCUAUCUUGAUUAUACCCAGGAAUGAGGAUGGGAGAGAGACCAGAGUAGCCAAAGAAAGCCACGUAAUUUUACACAGCCAAUGAGUUACAGUCACUUAAGUUAAAUUUUAAAAUGUAUGGCCUGAAACCCCAGGCUGAAAUAAAGAGGGCUAGACCAGGCGGGGGAAUUGUAGGCUGAAGAGUAGAUCUCUUGAGUCACAGAAAGAGGUUAGGAGGUAAGCAGUUUUUAGAACAGGACAGGAAAGGAAGGAGCAGAAUGUGACCACGUCUGGAACUAGAG